rnacentral:piRNA from 1 species
UUGUAUGAUAUGCUAGCAGU